AUUAAGGACGACAUGUUGUCCUUAUAACGGGGAUCCAGAAGGGUGGCCACCCAGUAAUCAGCACAAGUAAGAAUGUGGGUAACUCGGCAGUCGUUGCGCAGGCACUUUGGUGACUCUAGAUAAAAUCGGGCCGAUCACACGUCCCGUGACAGCGACGACGCAUUUGAAUGUCUGCGGUGACCACGGGUAACGGGGAAUCAGGGUUCGAUUCCGGAGAGGAAGCCUGAGAAACGGCUACCACAUCCAAGGAAAGAAUCAGGCGCGCAAAUGACCCCCUCCCGACGCGGGGAGGUAGUGAUGAU